UUCUAGUUUUUUCUUUUCCGCUUUUUCAACAGACGGGGACGGUUGUUUCUGUCUCCUUAACUUUAAAAAUGGAAGUGAUAAACACGAUGCGGAACUUUGUCAAAGAUGAAAAAAUGAGUGAAAACUGCAAUGUUGAAUGACUUUCAAGCCCCAGCCACGUGCACGUGGUUUCUGGUAAAACUGAAGAGUAAGGAGCCUGGCGCUUUUGAAACUUCAUAUAAUAUGAAAAAAACUUUCUAACCGUGGAAAUGGAAGAAAGAGGUUCACAAAUCAUGUAAAAGGAACGCCAUCUAAUAAAAGGUGACAGUUGCUUGGGGCGCCGAAACAUGUAUCUCGGAGUAGCCUUCGUUAUCAGCUAAGGCUACCAUAUGGAGUUGGCCACAUGAAUAAAUCCUCUUGGCAUAAACAGAUGUGAUAGUUGAGGUGGAAGGAAUAAAUCUGAGGGUUAUUUCUGAAAUAGAUGCUCUAAUGGAUGUGUUUGAUUACUGUCGCUAUACAUAUGUCAUUCCACUUGAUUGCGCUAAGUAAACGAUCCCGUUAUAGAUAAGGAAUUAUAUGAUUCAAUAACUUGUGGUUAAUGGAAUAAAAAUAAAAGACAAAUCGCUUUUGCUAUUCAGUAUAA